UGCUGAUGGGCAGGGUGGGGGUCGGCACAACUUUUGGGGGUGCUCGUGCUCAUGGGGCUAUGGCCUAAAGAGUGCUGCCUCCCCUACAUACUCAAGUUUCUUCUGAUGCUCCCCAUAGUGAGACAUGCAGCCACAGCAUCCAGUUGAGCACUCGGCCAUGUUGGACUCACCAGUGCUCACUCCUUCCUGCUCCUUUCCCCAGGGAUUUUGGCUCUGGGGAGCACAGGGAGGUGUCCCUGUGGCACUGAGUGCUGAGAGGCUGAAUGCUGUGACAGCCAUUCUCUGUGCAGUGUUCUUCAGAUACGUCUGGUGUUAGCACAGGCUGCUUCCUGCAAAGCCCUUUUUCUCUCAGCACUUUGUUCCCGCAGACAGGCUGAGCACACUGGGUGCUGCACCUAUGGUUCCUCCAGCAUUCCCAGUCACUGCAGGGGCUGGGAGGAGGUGCAGGGGAAUGAUAUCACUAGAAAACAGCCCAAGCAGGACCCACAUUCCCUGCCCACUGCCAGAUCCAUGUGGUACCACUCCUGGCAUCCUCAAGGGCUGCAGCUGCUCCACAUGAGCUCUGGGGCCAUCUGAGCUCUGUCCCUGGAGCACUUGCCAGGGCCAGAACAAGUUGUGGCUGCUACAGAAUUCCCACUUCCACGGGUCCAUGCUGGUCUUACCCCAAGAGCGUAUUUCAGCACAUGCUGUAUUCAAGGCAAACUAUUCCUGCUGGGAUCUGGGGAUCCUUUAUCUCUGUUCCCAGUGCUGGGAGGAACAUGAGGAGUCCUGUUGUUUGGAAAAAACCCCAAAGCCCAUAGAGGAUUGAUUGAGCUAAAUGGAGGUGCUUUGGCACAGCCUUUGGGACACACUGCAGGUAUCUCAAGUCACGGAGGGCACUUUGCAGCAGCUUCUCAAGGCCCAUGUGUAGUGCAGCAGCUCUUCCACCACUCUUCUUCCCCUGCCCCUCGUUCCAGCCUGGGGCUGGAAGCACAUCUGCCCAGAGGUGAGAGCAGAGCUGCUCGGCUGCCAAAGUAGAACACAGCUCAGAAGUUCAUUCUGGGAUUGCCAUGCAGUGUGAAGAGGUACCCAUUGGCCAGAUGGGGCCUUUGCUUCAAAAGCGGUGGAAAGCUCAACGUCAGCGUGCAGCCCUGUGCCCUCCGGUGCUGGAAGGGGCUGCUCACCCUCAGCCAUACAGUUCUCCAUUUCUAUGGGCUGAAAGAUUUCAGAGCCUUGCUCUGGGAGCUGCCCAAGGUGUUGCUGAUGGCAUCUAAGAGAAAAGCAUGGAGCAGCGUUGCUGCGCACUGCUUAUGUGUAGCUAUGGUUACAGGAGUCUGUGUCAGAGUAUGUACGAUGUUACCAGGGAAAUCAGACGUGGUGGUGUCAACAGAUACUGCAGGAGCUCAUCCUCCAUCAGAGCAGAGCUCAGAAGCUCAGUGCAGACCCACACAGCAACCGGCAGCGAUAAGAAUAAAUGCCAUUUGGAGAAGAAAACCAUCCUACCCACGCGGAGGGAGGGGGGCCUGGCAGGGACAUGCAGGUACCACCCACUGCUGCAAGCACUUGGCACGUGUUCCCAGAGACAUUCAAACAUGUACCAAAGAGCUUCUCCUGUCUGAGCAGUCAGUGCAUCCUUACAGACCUCCCUACAAUUGGAGCCCCUCAGGGUGUUUGCAAUGUAGCCCUGCAUCCUUUCCAACAGCAAAUGUUUCUGUGAGAGAGAAUUACUCUUCCAAAAUGACAUUUUCAGGAUCUUUUAAGAAAGUGGUUUCAUGAAGCUCGAUUUUUUUUCUUCCCGCAUUUAUUUGCAUUUUUAAAACGGUGGCAUUUAGGGGUGUUGUUUUGAAAUAUAUGUCAAUCCCAUCACAUCACCCCACUUAAGGAUCAGAAGCGCUGCAGUGAAAACCCUCAUAGAAAACACCCCAAGUGAAAGCAUACCAAGGAAACACAAGCUUCGGAUCGAGGAAAGGAAUCAAAGUGUCUUAUUCAUCUACCAACCUGUAGUCAUUGCUCAAGCAAAAGCUGUUUGAAAACCAGAAGCACAAAGAGUCUCACGGGAGCGUGUUGGUUGUGGAGAGCAAUGCGGGAUGUUUGGCCACAUCCCGAACUCGGCGUGAUGUCAGGGAGCUUUUGGCUUUGGGCAUCUGCCUGUAGACACCUCAACGUGGAGGCGAUGUUUCAGCACUCAGGGAGAGCUCACAGCAGUUUGGCCAAUCUGAUAAAGGAGAUGAAUCAUUCUGGAGUCAUCUGCUGCUAAAAUGAACCCAUCACAUAGAUGACAUGAGUGUCCUGAGAGAUGGUACAGCAGAGAACCCUUCUGUUGGUUUUAUGGGCCUGCAUCCGAGCGAG
ensembl:lncRNA